rnacentral:tRNA from 1 species
GCUCGUGUAGCUCAGUGGUUAGAGCUUCGUGCUUAUAGAAGCAUUCGGCACUCCGAAGCAUUCUGUGCUAAAGGUUCUUCAUUGAAUCACGAUCCUUACUAGGGAUCGCAGCAGUAAGCAACGCGACCGUCGUGGGUUCGAACCCCACCUCGAGCA